rnacentral:rRNA from 1 species
AUGAGGGAGCCACGACGCAGUCCGAGCAGGCAGCCGAUGACGGCGAGUCGCGGCCGGCAAUGGCGCCGCCGCCGGCCGAAGCUUGUCACAGAGCGCCUGACUACUGCUAGUAGUGAUGCGCGGUCGCUGAAGCCGACUACGGCUACCAGGGGACUACUCGCUGGGACGACGACGAGCUUCUCCGAGGACGAGGAGGACCUCCUCAUCAAGCUGCACGCUUUGCUCGGAAACCGCUGGUCCAUCAUCGCCGGGAGGCUGCCUGGGAGGACGGGCGAGGAGGUGGAGGCCCACUGGGGUUCGCCGGCGAUGAGGAGGCGCGCGGCCGGCGGCGCCGAUCCCGACAGCCAUCGUGUGCUACUGCAGGCUUUGCUAGCCUCGUCACAUGAUCAACCAACACAACCCGGCGAGCAUCUGCGGAGGGCGGUGCCAAACCAAGUACGCGACGAGCGCCCCGGUCGUCCUUACGACGACAGUGCAGUGUCGGACGCCGGAAGCCGCAGAGCCUGCGCAUCAUCGGACGCCGACAGCAGCUGGUUCCUCGCUGAACUGAACCUGGAGCUCACCCUGUCUACGCCGAGCAGUGCGUCUACUUAA